rnacentral:rRNA from 1 species
GUAGUCAUAUGCUUGUCUCAAAGAUUAAGCCAUGCAUGUCUAAGUAUAAGCAAAUUUAUACCGUGAAACUGCGAAUGGCUCAUUAAAUCAGUCAUCGUUUAUUUGAUAGUACCUUACUACUUGGAUAACCGUGGUAAUUCUAGAGCUAAUACAUGCUAAAAGCCCCGACUUCGGAAGGGGUGUAUUUAUUAGAUUAAAAACCAAUGCCCUUCGGGGCUCUUUGGUGAUUCAUAAUAACUUAACGAAUCGCAUGGCCUUGUGCCGGCGAUGGUUCAUUCAAAUUUCUGCCCUAUCAACUUUCGAUGGUAGUAUAUGGGACUACCAUGGUUUCAACGGGUAACGGGGAAU